ACCAACCCACGAGCAACACAGAGCAAAACCAAGUCUCAUGUCUUCAGCAAAGACGACCGAAGCAGGUCUCAGCACAUUCAGCCACUUCAAAUCAAGCCGCGCCACCCGACCGCGAGAACCGGAAACCCUAAAUUUCGAAUCAUCCAAUGGGCGGUGCUUCCUCUCUGCCUACAGAAAACAUCAAAUUAAAGUUACUCUCCCUUCCCGCGGAGUACCCAUUGCCACACACACCGCUCGGGAGCUUUACUUACUUCGGAACCUCCGAAUCGAAGUCCAAACAGAGAAGAGAGAUCGGAAAGCCGGGAAAUUUCGAGCAAGAAACAGAGCAAAAAAGCCGCGGAGGGGCGAACCCAAUCGCACAGAGCAAAGCGCCAAACGGAGGAAAGAGAGCCUACCCGCAAAAGGGUGUCCGCAGAUUGAUUCGGGAGCUCGACCCGGGAAGCCGCCGGCGAGGAUUGAGGAGGAGGACGGCGGCGGUGGCGUCCGACCGGGGAGCAAUGACGGGAGAGACGACUCUGGAACGCGGCCCUCGGGGGGAGGAAAACCCAGCUGCCGCCCGAUGUUCCGGGUCGGACCCGGGUUCCGUCACGGGUCGGGUCGGGUUGGGGGAGGACGAAUUGGUGUGUGAGCUCGUGUCGGGGGGGAGGGGGCUUUGAUCUUGCCGGAGCUUGGUCAGUAGAUUUGGCGUUCCCUCGAUCGCUGCUAAUCCUACGCUCCCCUGUCUGUCUGUCUGUCUCUCUCUUUCGCUUUCUCUCUCCUCUUCGCUUUCUCUCUCUUCGUUCUUGGUCGCUCUCCUAUGCUCGCAC
rnacentral:lncRNA from 1 species